rnacentral:rRNA from 1 species
AAUGGGGGAUAACGUAGCGAAAGUUACGCUAAUACCGCAUAUGCCCUGAGGGGGAAAGGUGGGGAUCGCAAGACCUAUCGUUUUCGGAGCGGCCGAUAUCAGAUUAGCUAGUUGGUGGGGUAAAGGCCCACCAAGGCGACGAUCUGUAGCUGGUCUGAGAGGACGACCAGCCACACUGGGACUGAGACACGGCCCAGACUCCUACGGGAGGCAGCAGUGGGGAAUUUUGGACAAUGGGGGCAACCCUGAUCCAGCCAUGCCGCGUGAGUGAAGAAGGCCUUCGGGUUGUAAAGCUCUUUCGGACAGAAAGAAAUCGCCACUUCUAAUAAAGGUGGUGGAUGACGGUACUGUAAGAAGAAGCACCAGCUAACUACGUGCCAGCAGCCGCGGUAAUACGUAGGGUGCGAGCGUUAAUCGGAAUUACUGGGCGUAAAGCGUGCGCAGGCGGUUUUGUAAGACAGACGUGAAAUCCCCGGGCUUAACCUGGGAACUGCGUUUGUGACUGCAAGGCUAGAGUGCGGCAGAGGGGGGUAGAAUUCCA